GCCUGGCUGGCUCAGUUGGUGGAGCUUUUGACUCUUGAUCUCUGGGUUGUGGGUUCGAACCUCAUGUUGGGUU
rfam:Felis catus isolate Cinnamon breed Abyssinian chromosome C1, whole genome shotgun sequence.